AGUGAACGCUGGCGGUAGGCCUAACACAUGCAGGUCGAACGGCAGCACAGUAAGAGCUUGCUCUUACGGGUGGCGAGUGGCGGACGGGUGAGGAAUACAUCGGAAUCUACUUUUUCGUGGGGGAUAACGUAGGGAAACUUACGCUAAUACCGCAUACGACCUACGGGUGAAAGCAGGGGAUCUUCGGACCUUGCGCGAUUGAAUGAGCCGAUGUCGGAUUAGCUAGUUGGCGGGGUAAAGGCCCACCAAGGCGACGAUCCGUAGCUGGUCUGAGAGGAUGAUCAGCCACACUGGAACUGAGACACGGUCCAGACACCUACGGGAGGCAGCAGUGGGGAAUAUUGGACAAUGGGCGCAAGCCUGAUCCAGCCAUACCGCGUGGGUGAAGAAGGCCUUCGGGUUGUAAAGCCCUUUUGUUGGGAAAGAAAAGCAGCAGGUUAAUACCCCGCUGUUCUGACGGUACCCAAAGAAUAAGCACCGGCUAACUUCGUG
rnacentral:rRNA from 1 species